UACGGAGGGUGCGAGCGUUGUCCGGAAUCACUGGGCGUAAAGGGCGCGUAGGCGGCCUGAUAAGUAGGGGGUGAAAUCUUGCGGCUUAACCGCAAGGCUGCCUUCUAAACUGUCAGGCUAGAGCACAGUAGAGGCAGGUGGAAUUCCCGGUGUAGCGGUGGAAUGCGUAGAGAUCGGGAAGAACAGCAGUGGCGAAGGCGGCCUGCUGGGCUGUUGCUGACGCUGAGGCGCGACAGCGUGGGGAGCAAACAGG
rnacentral:rRNA from 1 species